rnacentral:lncRNA from 1 species
CCCAGCAUCAUUAAAAAAAACAACAACAGGAAAUACACAUUAAAACUUUAUUCUGUGGCAUGUCCCUGCUUCCUUAAGGAAUACUCUGGUUAUUAUCAGCCCUUAAAUACUUGGAUAAUUCUUUAUUUUGUUCUUUCUUUUUUAAAGGCCACCGCCUGAGGGUUGUAAAUAUGAAUCAACAAAGUGAUACUGCAGACUUGCUUGGGGGUUAUAAGCCAGUGGACCAUAAACUUAUUUGGCUGCCCUUACGAGAGACAUUUGAGGAACUCUUUGCCCAGACGUUUUCCAAGAAACAAAACUUCACCUUUUUGGGACACAUACAGACUUGUUACAGGCAGAAACGGUGGCAUGAUCUCCUGAGACUAAUGCAACAUGUAUACAAGUCUGCUGUUAACAAAGAAGGAAAAGAGAGUGAAGCCGGUAAGGAUGUUACCCAAACUGCUGGUAGGAGGGCAUGAGGCUGGGCCUUAAUGAACAGAACUAAGAGAACAGUUUGGGGGGAAGGAUGGAGAAAUACAAAUUGGAGCAUCCUAGGGUUUAUGGCAGUUUUGAAGUAUUGCUGCUGCCAUGC